rnacentral:rRNA from 1 species
CCUACGGGUGGCAGCAGUGAGGAAUAUUGGUCAAUGGACGCAAGUCUGAACCAGCCAUGCCGCGUGAGGGAAGACGGUUCUAUGAAUUGUAAACCGCUUUUGUCCGAGGACAAACGCAGAUACGUGUAUCCGUCUGAGAGUAUCGGAAGAAAAAGCAUCGGCUAACUCCGUGCCAGCAGCCGCGGUAAUACGGAGGAUUCAAGCGUUAUCCGGAUUUAUUGGGUUUAAAGGGUGCGUAGGCGGUCGGAUAAGUUAGCGGUGAAAUCCCGGGGCUCAACCUCGGAAUUGCCUCUGAUACUGUUAGGCUAGAGUGUGCGUGCGGUAGGCGGAAUGUGUGGUGUAGCGGUGAAAUGCUUAGAGAUCAUACAGAACACCGAUUGCGAAGGCAGCAUACC